UUUAAGGGAGACCUACCUGCUCAAAUAUCGAGAUAAUUAAUAUAGAGAUAUUGAGUUGGUCAUCCUAGAUCGGUCGAGGUUGGCUCAUGCUUUCAAACUAGUUUUGGUUCGAUGCGCUUUCACAGUGGUAGUUUCUACCACUGUGAAAGUUCGGUUUUGCCCACUGAUUAUCUAACAAAUAAACAGUACAUUAGUAUUAAUUGCGAAUGAGCCAAGUAAAUCAAACUUGUUCAGCACCUUAUCUAGUAAAGCUAGAGAGACUGCUGGGCGAAAGUCCAGACAGAACCUUGAAAAUUGCAUAGCAACUUGUCAGGUAGAAAGCGUUGAUAGUUAACAGUUAUUAGUUAACAGUCAACAGCAAUCACAGACACCAAUGUAAGAAAUGU
rnacentral:misc_RNA from 1 species